AGUAGAAGAAAUUACUCAGUUCCUAACUAGAAAGAUGCACAGUUUGAGCUUCGUACACCACUUGCACGCUUCCUGGAGCGACUACUGGCUGGGGGGCGCAAAACAGAAAAUAUAUGUGAGUGGACAAAAACCAGAUUUGCAAUUAAAAACAAUAUAGUAACCCCACCAUGUAAAAAUAAUGCUCAAGUCAUGCAGGUUUACAAUUCAAUACUUAAUUACUCAAAACAUGCUUCAUUAAAACUCUUCAAAAAAAAAAAAAAAAAACCAGUUAUCUCCUUCAAAAAGAAACCCACUCUCUCAAUCUUUCAACUCCUAUCAAACUACUAAACAAACUCUAAAUCCUUACACACUCAACUAUACAUAUACAUAUAAAUAUACAUAUAUAUAAAUAUAACUAUAGAGAGCUAUAUGAUAUACUCAUCACACCACCUAGGUACCGGGGAAAACAAUCCAACUGGGGAUCGUUUGACUAGUCCGCAGGAUUUCCAGGUGCUAUCCUGCAUCUAGGCAUGAGCGGUCCAACCGGGGGACGAAACUCCAAAGCUCCCACACCGGAACAUUCAACGCCAUGUGUAGCUCCCAAACUAUGUCCUACGCGCGCAGACUGGAUCAUCACACAUCGGAACAUCCAACGCCAUGGUGAUGACCCUAAACAUUAUACAAAGUCUUUCCAUAUGCCGGAACAUCCAACGCCGCACAUGGAAAGUGUCUCACACGCCGGAACAUCCAACGCCGCGAGUGAGACUAGUAAUUGGGGAAGGUACUUACGUAGUGUAACCACACAACUUCUCUCCAAACUCACAUUCUUCCACAUCACCCUCCAACAACCCAAGUAUCUCGUCUAAAGAGAAUAUAUAAAUAUACUUCCCC
rnacentral:lncRNA from 1 species